UAGAAAAGGGUAAAGAAAAGAAAUACGAAUGUCAUGUUUGUAAAAAUGUCUAUAUCCGGAGAGUGGUAACGAAUGCUUAGCGCAGCAGCUUCUUGGACAUCCUUUUAUCUCUCCAAAUCCCAUGUCACACGGUUUAAGCAAUAACAUCACUUCAGAUAAGCUUGACGAUGGAAAAGAUCGAGGGAGAAAUCAAAAUAGCUGUGAUGAUGGAGAUGAGUAUCCUGAUUUGAUGCCUAUUCCUUUCGGCUACGCUACGAGAAAUUUACAAGUUUGGAAUGAGUUUGAGGUGUUGCAGAUGAUUGCGAAAAGGAGGGUUUGCUUCAGUUGUCAAGGUAAAUUUUUAUUACAUACAACAUUGUUUAAAUAGAAGGUAGUUUGGUCAUGUGAAGGAAAUUUUGUACGUUAUUUGGAAAUGCUUUAAAUACGCUUAGGUACGUAAUAAAUUGGAAGGCUGUCUCUAUGCAAUCAAAAGAAUUACUUUGAAUCCGAAAAGUGUGCUGUUUAAUUGCAAAAUUA